rnacentral:rRNA from 1 species
UACGGAGGGGGCUAGCGUUAUUCGGAAUUAUUGGGCGUAAAGGGCGCGUAGGCGGCCCGGUAAGUCAAAGGUGAAAUCCCUCGGCUCAACUGAGGAACUGCCUUUGAAACUGCCGGGCUCGAGGCCGGGAGGGGGUAGCGGAAUUCCCAGUGUAGCGGUGAAAUGCGUAGAUAUUGGGAGGAACACCGGUGGCGAAGGCGGCUACCUGAACCGGUUCUGACGCUGAUGCGCGAAAGCGUGGGUAGCAAACGGG